GAUGAGGGUUUAGCAACGCGCCAUGGCAUGCCCUCGCAGAUUGCGUGAAGUAUGACCGCCCCUGCGCUGUCCUCUCCUGGGAAAUAACCGGUUGCACUGACCGUAUAAGGCAGGCGGCAAUGGCCGGGAAAGAAACAGCGGGACCCCACUUUACGACAUCGAGUGGCAGUUGCAGCGUGGACCAGGGUACAAGCAGUGCAGCCACUGAUCUAAACCAUGGCAGAGUUCCCGAAGAAACUAGAGAAGCAGCGUGGCACCAGCGAGAGAACCAGGCUGCCAACAGAAUCAGAGUGCCGUGUUUGUCGGUUCGCUUUCACCGACAUGGCGGCCUUCGAAUACCACACAGUUGACCACAUGCUCGGGAAAAGCCACAACUGCUCUCAUUGUGGUAAACUGUUUAUGUGGCCUUCGCACCUCACGAAGCACUUACGCACACACCGCGAACCAUCCUUUCCGUGCAGCGUGUGUGGCGAAAAAUUUCAUACCAUAGAUGGCCGAAGGAACCACAUCUAUGCGUACCACGUCGGUUCACAGGACUGAGAAGCCGUCGAAGGGUCUCUUUCACCCGGCACCACACACCACGAAAUUGGUCGAGCACGUCUGGAAGCACCGUCGCACCUGACUGUGGAUUCGGCAUCGCUACAGCCGGAUAUUCACCCGGGUAGAGUGCCAUCUGUGGAUGUCACCCUGGCGCCAAGAGAUGUUGUGUGCACUCACAGAAAAACUUGCGGUGUGGGCGUCAACUGUUCUAGCUGUGCACUAACUUCUUGACAAACUACACUGGGCUAAUCUUAUCUCUCCUGACAACGGCCGAAGAAUGCCCCUAAUAAAUUUUUUACAGUGCUUAUUUCGAGGAA